AACGAACGCUGGCGGCAGGCCUAACACAUGCCAGUCGAGCGCCCCGCAAGGGGAGCGGCGGGCGGGUGAGUACCGCGUGGGGAUAUGCCCUUUGCUACGGAAUAGUCUCGGGAAACUGGGGGUAAUACCGUAUACGCCCUAUGGGGGAAAGAUUUAUCGGCGAAGGAUUGGCCCGCGUUGGAUCAGGCAGUCGGUGGGGUAAUGGCCUACCAAGCCGACGAUCCAUACCUGGGUUGAGAGGCUGAUCAGCCACACUGGGACUGAGACACGGCCCAGACUCCUACGUGAGGCAGCAGUGGGGAAUCUUAGACAAUGGGGGCAACCCUGAUCGAGCCAUGCCGGGUGAGUGAUGAAGGCCGUGGGGUUGUAAAGCUCGUUCAGCUGGGAAGAUAAUGACGGUACCAGCAGAAGAAGCCCCGGCUAACUCCGUG
rnacentral:rRNA from 1 species